CACUAUCGCCGUCAUCUUUCUAUGUAUAUUUCGUCACCUCGAGCGAUAAAUGAACCUGCUUAAUUAACGGUUUUACUUUUUUCAAAUCGAUAAACACCGACAUUUCUACAUAUACACAUAACGUCUGAUCGCUGACCGAGAGUUCUCGACACCGAUGAGCCUCGACUGGCGUAUAUAGGGGAGUAUGGGGCAAAGUGGCCCACUUAAGGAAUUUAACGAGUUUUGUCGGGUAGCACAUGGUCAUUUACUUAUUUUUAUGUCCCCAAACUGAUUCCACCUCCUUAUUGCUCGAAUUUUGAAAAAAAAAAUUUUUGGGGCAAAGUGGCCACCCCCUCGAAUGCGGUGAAAAUCGAUAAUUGUCACUUCUCGUUAAAUAGACGUUGGAAUUGACUGUUCUCGCAUGGAACAUUGAAGGAUGCGAUAAAACGAAAAGAAACGAGGCAUAGUAGGAACUCUCCUUCGAUGGGAUGAAAAAAAAAUUAGUCAGAAUACUUCGAUAAAUUUUGCCAAAUUUUUUUUCAUGCCGAAAAUGAAUAUCCAGCCCACUUUAUCAGAUAAUAAAUGAUCUUUCGACUAUUGUUGAGUCUUAAAACUCUUUGUUCAUCCUCUUUUUCCUUAUUUGAUCGAGAACAUUUUUUGGGGCAAAGUGGCCACCCUCUCGAAUGCGGUGAAAAUCGAUAAUUGUCACUUCUGGUUAAAUAGACGUUGUAAUAGACUGUUCCCGCAUGGAACAUUGAAGGCCGCGAUAAACCGAAAAGAAACGAGGCAUAGUAGGUACCCUCCUUCGAUGGGAUGAAAAAAGAAUUAGUCGGAAUACUUGGAUAAAUUUUGCCAUUACCAGUGGCAAAAGCCCGUUCUUAUCGGGGGCAAAUCGUGGGAAAACCGCCAUUGUCACGAGUCUGUCGUAUCGCGCAAAUCUAGUGAGUAAGAAAAAAGAGAUCAUGAAAAAAGAAAAAUUCUUGUCUGCGGCGGACGUUGCGUGUAUUUUCUGCGAUCAACUUUAUUCGCAUUCCUCCAAAGAUUGAAUUCGCUGCGAAACAUGCCUAAAAUGGGCGCACACCUUGUGUGCAGGUGUUGAUGAAGAUGAAGUCCAUUAUAAGUACGAUUUUUGUCAAUUAAAAUAAAAUAGACAUUUAUCAGUAA